UUGGAGGGCAAGUCUGGUGCCAGCAGCCGCGGUAAUUCCAGCUCCAAUAGCGUAUAUUAAAGUUGCUGCAGUUAAAAAGCUCGUAGUUGAAUUUCGGGACCAUCAUGUCGGUCGUGCCUCGGUACGUACUGGCAUUGUUGGUUUCUCCCUUCUGACGAACCAUGAUGUCAUUUAUUUGGUGUUGUGGGAAAUCAGGACUGUUACUUUGAAAAAAUUAGAGUGUUUAAAGCAGGCUCACGCUUGAAUACAUUAGCAUGGAAUAAUGAAAUAGGACGUUUGAUUCUAUUUUGUUGGUUUCUAGGAUCGACGUAAUGAUUAAUAGGGAUAGUUGGGGGCAUUAGUAUUCAAUUGUCAGAGGUGAAAUUCUUGGAUUUAUUGAAGACUAACUACUGCGAAAGCAUUUGCCAAGGAUGUUUUCAUUAAUCAAGAACGAAAGUUAGGGGAUCGAAGACGAUCAGAUACCGUCGUAGUCUUAACCAUAAACUAUGCCGACUAGGGAUCGGAUGAUGUUAAUUUUUUAAUGACUCAUUCGGCGCCUUACGGGAAACCAAAGUGUUUGGGUUC
rnacentral:rRNA from 1 species